rnacentral:tRNA from 1 species
UUUAGGGUGGCAGAGACAGGUUUUAAUGCACAAGGCCUAAGCCCUUGAUCCAGGGGCUCAAAUCCCCUCCCUAAAA